GGAUAUGAUGAUUUCUUUUUGACACCCAGUCUGACUUCCGAUGGAAUCUGGUGAUAGAUAUCGACCUUUUAUCUGAUCC